rnacentral:tRNA from 1 species
GGCCUCGUAGCUCAGCUGGUAGAGCGAGCGCUGUACCAAAGCGUAGGCCCCGUUCAUACGUGGGUUCGAACCCACCGACGCUA